CACCAUUUGGUGCAACCUGUUUUUUUAUCUCUACCUUUAAUACACAAAACAAUUCCUACAGUGAUUCCUCAUUCCUAUACUAGCACCCUUUACACUAUACCAGGGGUAGUCAACCUGGUCCCUAAAGCCCAUUAGUGGGCGGUUUAGGAUUUCAGGUGGGCGAUGGUGGGUUCUGCAGAAAACGCCAAGUGGGCCUUGAUGGCUGUGGACC